GACGAACGCUGGCGGCGUGCUUAACACAUGCAAGUCGAACGGAAAGGCCCUGCUUUUGUGGGGUGCUCGAGUGGCGAACGGGUGAGUAACACGUGAGUAACCUGCCCUUGACUUUGGGAUAACUUCAGGAAACUGGGGCUAAUACCGGAUAGGAGCUCCUGCUGCAUGGUGGGGGUUGGAAAGUUUCGGCGGUUGGGGAUGGACUCGCGGCUUAUCAGCUGGUUGGUGGGGUAGUGGCUUACCAAGGCUUUGACGGGUAGCCGGCCUGAGAGGGUGACCGGCCACAUUGGGACUGAGAUACGGCCCAGACUCCUACGGGAGGCAGCAGUGGGGAAUAUUGCACAAUGGGCGGAAGCCUGAUGCAGCAACGCCGCGUGCGGGAUGACGGCCUUCGGGUUGUAAACCGCUUUCGCCUGUGACGAAGCGUGAGUGACGGUAAUGGGUAAAGAAGCACCGGCUAACUACGUGCCAGCAGCCGCGGUGAUACGUAGGGUGCGAGCGUUGUCCGGAUUUAUUGGGCGUAAAGGGCUCGUAGGUGGUUGAUCGCGUCGGAAGUGUAAUCUUGGGGCUUAACCCUGAGCGUGCUUUCGAUACGGGUUGACUUGAGGAAGGUAGGGGAGAAUGGAAUUCCUGGUGGAGCGGUGGAAUGCGCAGAUAUCAGGAGGAACACCAGUGGCGAAGGCGGUUCUCUGGGCCUUUCCUGACGCUGAGGAGCGAAAGCGUGGGGAGCGAACAGGCUUAGAUACCCUGGUAGUCCACGCUGUAAACGGUGGGUACUAGGUGUGGGGUCCAUUCCACGGGUUCCGUGCCGUAGCUAACGCUUUAAGUACCCCGCCUGGGGAGUACGGCCGCAAGGCUAAAACUCAAAGGAAUUGACGGGGCCCCGCACAAGCGGCGGAGCAUGCGGAUUAAUUCGAUGCAACGCGUAGAACCUUACCUGGGUUUGACAUGGAUCGGGAGUGCUCAGAGAUGGGUGUGCCUCUUUUGGGGUCGGUUCACAGGUGGUGCAUGGCUGUCGUCAGCCCGUGUCGUGAGAUGUUGGGUUAAGUCCCGCAACGAGCGCAACCCUUGUUCACUGUUGCCAGCACGUUAUGGUGGGGACUCAGUGGGGACCGCCGGGGUCAGCUCGGAGGAAGGUGGGGAUGACGUCAAGUCAUCAUGCCCCUUAUGUCCAGGGCUUCACGCAUGCUACAAUGGCUGGUACAGAGAGUGGCGAGCCUGUGAGGGUGAGCGAAUCUCGGAAAGCCGGUCUCGGUUCGGAUUGGGGUCUGCAACUCGACCUCGUGAAGUCGGAGUCGCUAGUAAUCGCAGAUCAGCAACGCUGCGGUGAAUACGUUCCCGGG
rnacentral:rRNA from 1 species